rnacentral:rRNA from 2 species
ACGGAGGAUCCGAGCGUUAUCCGGAUUUAUUGGGUUUAAAGGGAGCGUAGAUGGAUGUUUAAGUCAGUUGUGAAAGUUUGCGGCUCAACCGUAAAAUUGCAGUUGAUACUGGAUAUCUUGAGUGCAGUUGAGGCAGGCGGAAUUCGUGGUGUAGCGGUGAAAUGCUUAGAUAUCACGAAGAACUCCGAUUGCGAAGGCAGCCUGCUAAGCUGCAACUGACAUUGAGGCUCGAAAGUGUGGGUAUCAAACAG